rnacentral:rRNA from 1 species
UACAGAGGGGGCAAGCGUUGUUCGGAAUUACUGGGCGUAAAGGGCGCGUAGGCGGCCUGCUAAGUCGAACGUGAAAUCCCUGGGCUCAACCCAGGAACUGCGUCCGAUACUGGCAGGCUUGAAUCCGGGAGAGGGAUGCGGAAUUCCAGGUGUAGCGGUGAAAUGCGUAGAUAUCUAGAGGAACUCCGGUGGCGAAGGCGACACGCUGGACCUUUUCUGACGCUGAGGCGCGAAAGCCAGGGGAGCAAACGGG